rnacentral:lncRNA from 1 species
CUCAACAUACCUUAAAUAACCUUUACAUAACUUAGAAAUAAGUUUUGAAGGCCUUGGUAGGGCAAAAAAACAAGUUAAUUCGCUUACAGGGACUAAACUUGACAAACUGCGAAAGUAUGCCAAUUUGGACUGUAACAAACAUUCCGGAACAUGACCAUAAGUUAAACACAGCUUAAAUAUCCUUUACAUAGCUUAGAAAUAGGCUUUGAGAGGUUCGGCGUGCUAAAAAGAAACUUUUGGGUCAUUCAGGGACUAAAAGUGUCAAAAAGUGCACAAGUUUGCACUUUCGCGCAUAACUUACGUUCUGAAUACAUCCGGACAUCCAAAAAUUUAUGUAAGCAUCCUUAUAUUAUGCCUUAGUGUUUGGCAUGAGAAAAAUCCAUUUGUCACGCAUUUUGGAUCGUUUUUCGCGCUUAUGCGCAUUCCGUCGUAAUUAACCGAACAUCGCGACCGUACGACCAAACGAACCAACAUCCGGCAUAUUUUUGGGCAUGUUUCACGCCCUCAAUGUUUAGGCAUCAUUUUAGGGCCUUAAAGAUGGCUUAACGGGCCUUGAAUGUAUCGGAAAUAGCCUUAAACCACAACAGGGACCUAAAGUGUCAAUUCUGAAACUUGGUUUCUGAUCAGGACUCCCAGGCGGGGCGCGUAAGCCCUGACUAAAUCCUUACGCGGGCCGCGUCAGCCCUGCAGAUGCAGAAACUCGUUUUUUGCUAUUUUUGGCCUUUCAAUCACUCCAAAGGGCAAUGCCCCUUCACAAUCUCUGGAGUUAGGGUCAUAAUGUGAUACCACAACAUCUUGACAAGUGUACGCAUGAGAUCAUGGCACGAAAUUCAAGAAACGAUCGUAACAGUUUUGCUUUUCCUAUAAAUACCCCCCCUAUUUGGUGUAAAACCCACAAAACUGAUCAAAGAGCUCUAAGUUGAUGCCAUUGCUUCAUACCUGAGCUCCUUGAUCAAGUUUAGCUUUCGGGGACCCUUCGUAAGUGUUCUUUCGUUCUUUUAAUCGCUUUCUAGUGCUAAAGUCAAACUUUGUUUGACUUUCUGCGUUGACCAGCUUAUGGUCAACACGAAGUUCGUUAGAACUUCGUAACGUGAGCGUGAUCACGAUGGUUAUAGUCCGUAGUGACUAUACCUACUGAUUACCACGUUAUCUAGGCUUAGUGACGAGUCGUAGUUUCGGCCAAAAUGCGCAUUCUUGCGUAUUUUGUAACCAAACUACUCGUGGGUAUCAAAACCGUUUGUUUUGAUACCAAACCUGUUUUCUAAACUUAGUUAAGCAUGUGUUAACAUGCUUAGCUCGUCACUUUUAGUAUAAAGCUUAUAUAGGGUCGUAAGGUAAGCGAUCUAAACAAUCGCUUAUACUUUCGAACCUGACCCAUUUGGUCGAUCAUUAGGAUCAGACCAAUCACAUUAGGUGACCAUAGCUGUAACCUUCCGAGGUUAUACCUUAUGGUCACGAUGUUAGGCGUUCCAAACGCGUUCUACGCGAACGACGCGUUAAAGUAACAUAAGCUACCUAAACGGGUCGUAGUGGGUCGUAAGCACUUAGGCUAGGUUUCAUUUUAGUAUGUAGGCUUUGUUAAACCAUAUUACACGAGUCUCCAUACUCGUUUGGUUUACGAACCCGCAUACUAUCCGAUCCUCCGAUUUAGGUCCGGUAUAUUAACAUAGUUACCUAUAUUAGGUGCCGUUUGAUAUCCGUGAUCUCUAGCAUUAUUUCGUUGUUAUACAAUAACUUCAAAGCAACCUCAGCUCGACAUGGUGAGCUAUCGCUUAGGAUGAUGAUUGUGAUACUAGGGCGGACCUGUGCCUUAGAGACAUAAAACGAAGAUAGACUAGUUUAAUUAUGUUAUAAACUCUUUAUUUCCUGUUUGAAGACAAUGUAACACUCGUGUUCAAUAAAUAAAAAUACAAUUUUGUAUGC